UACGUAGGUGGCGAGCGUUGUCCGGAUUUAUUGGGUUUAAAGGGUGCGUAGGCGGCCCUAUAAGUCAGUGGUGAAAUAUCGCAGCUUAACUGUGAGGGUGCCAUUGAUACUGUAGGGCUUGAGUGAAUUUGAGGUAGGCGGAAUUGACGGUGUAGCGGUGAAAUGCUUAGAUAUCGUCAAGAUCACCGAUAGUGAAGACAGCUUACCAAGCUUCAACUGACGCUGAGGCACGAAAGUGUGGGGAUCAAACAGG
rnacentral:rRNA from 1 species